CCUACGGGCGGCAGCAGUGGGGAAUAUUGGACAAUGGGCGAAAGCCUGAUCCAGCCAUGCCGCGUGUGUGAAGAAGGCCUUCGGGUUGUAAAGCACUUUCAGUGGGGAAGAAAGCCUUGGGGCUAAUACCCUCGAGGAAGGACAUCACCCACAGAAGAAGCACCGGCUAACUCCGUGCCAGCAGCCGCGGUAAUACGGAGGGUGCGAGCGUUAAUCGGAAUUACUGGGCGUAAAGCGCGCGUAGGCGGUCUGAUAAGCCGGUUGUGAAAGCCCCGGGCUCAACCUGGGAACGGCAUCCGGAACUGUCAGGCUAGAGUGCAGGAGAGGAAGGUAGAAUUCCCGGUGUAGCGGUGAAAUGCGUAGAGAUCGGGAGGAAUACCAGUGGCGAAGGCGGCCUUCUGGACUGACACUGACGCUGUGGUGCGAAAGCGUGGGUAGCAAACAGGAUUAGAUACCCUAGUAGUC
rnacentral:rRNA from 1 species